CUCUCUCUCUCUCUCUCAAAAAAAAAAAAAGUGGUUGACAGAGCAUGGAGUUUAUACGGUACAAAUAUAUACUAGAAAAUAUAUACUGGAAAAGGACUAUGUCCCAAAGAACUUCAAUAUAUAAUAUCUAAUAGCUGGAUAGAAGAUUGUGGUCCUAUAAAACCAAGUGAAAAAGUCGCUAGAAACAGGAAAAUAACAGGAUAACAGGAAAAUAAGACCAUCAUGUCAUAGGGAACAAUGUGGAAAAAUAUCAGGUGUGGUUCACAGAAAUGAAUUCUGUUGAUAGGUUCAAAUAAGAUGAGAACUGAAAAUGUCUUUGUUGGCUUCACAACAUGCAACCAUUGGUGACUUUAGUGAACAUUAUGUUGAUGGACUAAUGACCUGCAAGUAAGAUUGAUGCAGAUACAGAAUCCAAUCCACUUCUGUAUUGGGGGUGAAGAAAUGGCAUAAGCAAACACAGUUCUUUCUUUCUAACAAUUUCUUUUUUUAAAAAAGUUUGGCUGUGAAAGGGAGGGACCUGCGAUGGUAGCUAGUGGGGAGUAAAGGGUUAAAUUGAGGUAGGUGUGUGUGUGUGUGAUUGUGUGUGUGUGAGCGUGCACGCUUUAAUGGGUGCUACUUAAGCAGUUAAGAAAGACAAGGAGCGGUGAAGGAACAAUAGAUAUUAAAAAUAGUAAGGGCAGGGAAGAAUGAGUUCCAAAGCAGAACAGGAGAAUUAGGAUUAUAGUAGAUUAGGUAAUGGCAGAAAAAUCUCCUCUAGUGCUUUACUCUUCAUGGUGGUCCAUGGCUUCUUGGGAAGUUAUAAGAAAUGGAGACUUCACUUGGGGGUCUCUACAGAAUCAGAAUCUGAAUUUUGAAUAGAAUUUGAGUCAGAAUUAGAAAUCUGAAUUUUGAUAACUGAAGUGUACAUAAAGUUUGAGGAGCACUACACCACAGAAGCUGGAGGAAAGGACAAUGGGCUGAAGUCCUAAUGGGGAAAGUGUGUGAAAUAAAACAAGAUGCCCCAAAGUCUCUCAUUAAUCCGGGCCAGAUGGAUCAAGUGAACUUGGUGUUGGAGAGACAACCUGAGUCUGGCUUCCUCUUUCACCUGCUUCUUCUGUGUCACAGAUAGGAUCUACAGUGCCUGUGUUCCCUGACGAGGACAUGCACAAUUCUUCCUACCUUGUAGGUGCAUAUGAUGAAAACAAUCCAGGUGUCACCAGGAAAUAAACAGGCCAUGGUUUCUUUUCAAAUCUGAGGAUGUGAGUAAAUUUGCAACUCCAUUACAACCAUCUUAUUAUUAUUUACUCCUUCAGAGCUUUCUAAUCUUUUC